UACGUAGGGUGCAAGCGUUAAUCGGAAUUACUGGGCGUAAAGCGUGCGCAGGCGGUUUUGUAAGUCUGUCGUGAAAUCCCCGGGCUCAACCUGGGAAUUGCGAUGGAGACUGCAAGGCUAGAAUCUGGCAGAGGGGGGUAGAAUUCCACGUGUGAGCAGUGAAAUGCGUAGAGAUGUGGAGGAACACCGAUGGUGAAGGCAGCCCCCUGGGUCAAGAUUGACGCUCAUGCACGAAAGCGUGGGGAGCAAACAGG
rnacentral:rRNA from 1 species